rnacentral:rRNA from 11 species
CUGGAGGUAUCAGAAGUGCGAAUGCUGACAUAAGUAACGAUAAAGCGGGUGAAAAGCCCGCUCGCCGGAAGACCAAGGGUUCCUGUCCAACGUUAAUCGGGGCAGGGUGAGUCGACCCCUAAGGCGAGGCCGAAAGGCGUAGUCGAUGGGAAACAGGUUAAUAUUCCUGUACUUGGUGUUACUGCGAAGGGGGGACGGAGAAGGCUAUGUUGGCCGGGCGACGGUUGUCCCGGUUUAAGCGUGUAGGCUGGUUUUCCAGGCAAAUCCGGAAAAUCAAGGCUGAGGCGUGAUGACGAGGCACUACGGUGCUGAAGCAACAAAUGCCCUGCUUCCA